AUAGCUGCUGUGGCCUGAUAGAGAUGUGGUCAAACAGGAAAGUUUGCUCCAAACACAGAGCACAGUACUGACCGCCAUGUCUAACCGUUCAUGUAGGAGUACUUCUGUUUAAAUACAUCUAAAAACAGGAUGUUAAAAUAGAUAUAGAACUUACUGUAAGGAGAGAGAGAGCAACAGCAGCAGCAGUGGAGCUGGGAGAGGAGCUCAGGCGAAACUAACGACACCCACCGACAUGACUGGACCGGAGGAAGGAAGAGCCUCCAGCUCCGGUCUUUGCUGUGAGUGCGCUGGUGGAAUUUGAGCCCACCACAGUUCCUGAAGGACUUCCCACACUGACCGCAGACGUACGGCUUCUCUCCUGUGUGGAUGCGGAAAUGCCGAGUCAGCGCUCCUGAGUGACGGAAACACUUGAGGCACACAGAGCAGGUGUAAGGCCUCUCGCCAGUGUGGAUGCGCAAAUGAGUCUUCAGGUUCUCCAAGCGGUUGAAGUCUCGGCUGCACACGGUGCAGCGGAAGGGGCUCCAGCCUGGGGGGUGAAGCUGCAGCUGGGUCUUUGUGCCUCCUCCCUGGGGAGGCUGACCACGCUGUUGGAGCCUCAGGCUGCACUGACCAAAGUGUCGCCGCAACAAGCUGGGCAGGGGAAAGGUCUGACCACAGAGCUUACACGUGGGGAUGGUGGUGCUGCUGCGGCCUGUCUUGAUAUGGGAUUCUUGGACUUGUGGAAGAGCCUGUGAUACGGAAGCUGGUUCCAGAUGGAAGAUGUUUGAAAACUCUGGAGAGAUUAAUUGAAGAUCCGAGUUUGAUGUGAGGCUGCUACUUAUGUUUGGAGGACGAGCUGUUGAGAAAAAGAAUAAUUCAGAAGAAUAAAACCAAAACAACCCUCAAUAAAAUAAAAAAAUGUAUUGCCAGAA